UGAACUCUGAGGGGCGGAGGACAGUGGGGUCAAACCGGGGUCAAAUAUGCUCCUGAUGAUCAAUAAUCAAUCUGCUGUGACCGUUGGGCUGGGACCAGAACCGGACCUGAUCACCGGAGCACAGCAGAUCCAGAACCGCCAGAUGACCUUUGACCUCCCAUCUGAAAGUCAGGAACCUGAACCGGACCGGCUGGCAUCAGAACUCAACAUUUAUUAAGUUAUCAGAAAGUGAUGAGAAUAUUUCCCCCAUUAGAAAAAAUGCUUUGCAUAAAGAAUUAUUAAAAGCUGUUCAUGUUGCCGCUCAGAGA